UUUGGUGGCUCCUACAACUAGGUGGUUAGGUGGAAUGUUAACAUAGAAUCUUCCCAACUAGGUAAAGAAUGUAGAAUUCAGAAAUGACAAUGUCAAAUGGACUCCAUCCUGUAUUAUGAACAUAUUGAAUUUGAGGUUUUACUGGUGGUAAUGCCAUUCUUCUCUCUGCCUAUCCUCCAGUAUCUAAGGUUUUUACUUAAGAAAGAAUAAUAUUAAAACAUUCAAAACCCUCAAGUCUGGCCAUGGGAACACAGGAAGAUAGGUAGUACAGAAUUAAUAUCAAAUGGGACUAGAGAACCGAAUUCUAUAGUCCAUGUUGCCCUUUGUGUUGCUGAUGUCUGGUAAUUUUUAGAUGAAAUAAGCAUUUAGGAGUUUAUCAUUUGAAGUCAGUACACAGUAUUUACACCAUUAUGCUCAGUCUAUAGCUAGGCACAAUUUGUUGCCAAAUCAUUGUAGAAAAUGGAAUUGGAAAUCAAUAUAUUUGAGUACACUUUCAGGAAUAUUUAUGAAAUGCCCUGUCAAUGAAAGUACAAUAAGAAAGUAAAAUAUAAUAUUCAUUUAAUUACAGGACUGUAGGGAAAAUACUGGCCUUUGUGAUACAUAGAUAACCAAGAAAAUUGAACUCUAUGUCACUGGAAUGAACCUGGGAAUAAAAAUAUUAUCUAGAAGAACCUCCUACACUAGAUGUUCCUUAAACUUUUCUACCCAUGCCAAGGCCCUUAUUAACUUUUUCCAUCCCAAGCAUGUAACUGCUUAAAAAAUCAAAGAGAAAUCUCUAGCUUAAGAGAGAUGGAGUAUGUAAAGGUUUCCACUGUAUCACAGGAGACAUACAUGGAAUGGGCACCCUCGAAUCUGGUCUAUGUAAGGAAAGCUGUUUAGCAGGUAUACCAUUGAACUUCUCAAUGACAUAAUCAUUAGGCCCUCCCUGAAACAUCUCUUGUAACCUGGAAAGCCCUAGCUUCUGUGAUGUCACAAUAUUGUUGUGACUGAAACUCCCUAUCAGAUAUCACUUCAGUACCUCUAGUGUUUACUAAUUGAAUUCUAAUUCAGAGUAAACAGCCAUUUUGGAGUGAAAGCAAAGAGGAUGAAGAGAUCAGAGAUGGGGAGAAGGAUGCUGGCCUUCUUUCUUGAUAUAAAAAAAGGAAGAAAUACAUGGUCCUUGGGAAAGCUCACAAAACUCUCAAAUAUCAUCCUGGGUGACGAUGUAGAUUAGACCCAUCAGAUGAAAUGAAGAAUUGAAAAACUCUCCUGGGGAUGAAAAUGGACCAAUUGCUUCCCUUCCCAGAUAUGGCAGUUGAGGCAGUUGUCUUCCCCAUAUGCUCUGGUAUCUAUGUAGCAGAAGUCUUGGACUGGCCAAAGCAUAUACUAGAAGGUGGAAAAUUUCCUGAACCUCUGAAGGGUAAGCUUAAUUGAUACUGUUGUUCUUCAUAUUGGGUUCCAAAUCCCUCCAGAUCCUUAAGUCAUUCCCCUAUCUCUUCCUUUGUGGCUGUCAGGUGCUGUCAAAUGCUUAGGUGUUUCUGCAUCUGUCACGGUCAGGUGAUGGCAGAGCCCCACGGAGGACAGACGUAUUAGGCUCUUAUCUGCGAGCACAUCUUGACCUCAGGAACAGUCUGAGGAUUUGGAGUCUCUGGAUGAAAUUGUUCUUCUGGUCGGGUGGUCUCUGGAUUGCCUUUCCUUCAGUCUCUGCUCCAUUUUUGUAUUUACAUUUUUUAGAUUGGAGAUUUAUAGGUAAAAAAAAAAAUGUGAGCUGUGUGGGCAGCACCACCCCUUCACUGGAGGGCAUGUCUAGCUACAGGAGGAAGUCUCUAGUUGUUCUAUCUAUUUUCCUGCUCGGUAUUUAAACUACCACCAUCACAGUAAGUUUCUGGGAUACACUUGCAUCCCUGGCAUCUGGGAUUUUCCUGGGGAUACCCAUGUUCACCACCCACCACUGACGCUUAUUGUUAUUUACUCCACGUUUCCUCUGAAUUUCUCUCCUGUCUCUUUUAAUUGGUGCAACUCCCACCACUUUAUCCAUCAUUUUCCACAUCUAGCUAGAUUCUUCCACUCCACUGCAUUCCAUGAUUAUUUUGUUCUCCCUUCUAAGUGGGUUCCAAGUAUCCGCCAUUUGGCCUUCUCACAUGUUACCCUUCAUGUUAUAAAAGAUUUAUAUAGUGGGUAUUCUGUUAGCAGGGCUAACAUCUACUAGUCACUAAGUCCAUCCCAUGUUGUGUCCUUUUCGAUUUCUGUUACUUCACUAUUUUCAUGUUCCAUCAUUUGUCUACAGAGUUCUUGGUGUCCUCAUAUUUAAUACCUAAGUAAUGUUCCAUUGUUUACAUAUAGCACACUUUCUGUAUUUAUUCCUGAGUGGAGAUGAGGUAUAUCAUGGUUCUUUCCAGCAUUCGACUGUUAUAAGUAAGACUGCUGUGAAUAUCUUCAACCACAUGUCCACGUUAUGUGUGGAUCAAGUUUGAGUAUAUGUGUUGAAGUGAGUGGUAAAGCUGGGUUUUCAAGUAAAGCUAUUUGCAAUUUUCUCUGGACCUCCACACUGAUGAUAUCCAAAGUGGCUAUCAGCUACUAA